UACGAGGGGUGCGAGCGUUGCUCGGAAUUAUUGGGCGUAAAGGGUUGGGAGGUGGUCUUGUUUGUCUGGGGUGAAAGCCUUGAGCUUAACUCGAGAAGUGCCCCAGAAACGGCAAGACUAGAAUCUUGGAGAGGCGAGCGGAAUUCCCGGUGUAGCGGUGAAAUGCGUAGAGAUCGGGAGGAACACCAGAGGCGAAGGCGACUUCCUGGCCUGUUCUUGACGCUGAGGCGCGAAAGCUAGGGUAGCAAACGGG
rnacentral:rRNA from 1 species